UACGGAGGGUGCAAGCGUUAUUCGGAUUUAUUGGGCGUAAAGGGCGUGUAGGCGGCCAGGUAAGUCAGGCGUGCAAUACUAUGGCUUAACCAUAGAACUGCGUUUGAUACUGCUUGGCUAGAGUACAGGAGGGGGAAGUGGAAUUCCCAGUGUAGCGGUGAAAUGCGUAGAUAUUGGGAGGAACACCAGUGGCGAAGGCGGCUCACUGGUCCGGUACUGACGCUGAGGUGCGAAAGCGUGGGGAGCAAACAGG
rnacentral:rRNA from 1 species